CUUGAACUUUAUUGUAUUUCUUUCUCUUUUUAGGAUUCUAAUUCUCAGGUGGAUUUAAGCAUUCGGGUUACUGAUGAUGAUAUUGGUGAAAUAAUUCAAGUAGAUGGAAGCGGUGAUACAUCUUCCAAUGAAGAAAUAGGAAGUACAAGAGAUGUAGAAGAGAAUGAAUUUCUAGGGAUUAUUGAUGGGGGAGAUCUGAAGGUACCUGAAGAAGAAGCUGACAGUAUUUCAAAUGAGGAUUCAGCCACAAACAGUAGUGAUAAUGAAGACUCUCAAGUAAACAUUGUAGAAGAGGACCCUUUAAAUUCUGGAGAUGAUGUUAGUGAACAGGAUGUGCCAGACCUGUUUGACACGGAUAAUGUAAUUGUCUGUCAGUAUGAUAAGAUUCAUCGAAGCAAGAACAAAUGGAAAUUCUAUUUGAAAGAUGGUGUUAUGUGUUUUGGAGGGAGAGACUAUGUAUUUGCAAAAGCCAUUGGUGAUGCAGAGUGGUAAACCAUGUGAGCUCAGUACAUCUAUUUUGUGAACAUCAGUUGGACUAUAUUGCAUAUUGUGAAUUCAUUUUUAUUUUGAAUAUAGUCCAGCACAGAGCUGUUCAAAUUUUUAGUUCACUGUAUGGAAUUUAAUAAAAUUAUAAUUCAGAUGCAGAUACAAUUACACAA